GAUGAACGCUGGCGGCGUGCUUAACACAUGCAAGUCGAACGGAAAGGCUCCUGCUUGCAGGGGUACUCGAGUGGCGAACGGGUGAGUAACACGUGGGUGAUCUGCCCUGCACUUCGGGAUAAGCCUGGGAAACUGGGUCUAAUACCGGAUAGGACGAUGGUUUGGAUGCCAUUGUGGAAAGUUUUUCGGUGUGGGCUGAGCUCGCGGCCUAUCAGCUUGUUGGUGGGGUAGUGGCCUACCAAGGCGUCGACGGGUAGCCGGCCUGAGAGGGUGUACGGCCACAUUGGGACUGAGAUACGGCGCAGACUCCUACGGGAGGCAGCAGUGGGGAAUAUUGCACAAUGGGCGCAAGCCUGAGGCAGCGACGCCGCGUGCGGGAUGACGGCCUUCGGGUUGUAAACUCCUUUCGCUAGGGACGAAGCGCAAGUGACGGUACCUGGAGAAGAAGCCCCGGCUAACUACGUG
rnacentral:rRNA from 1 species